ACUCCUGCGGGAGGCAGCAGUGGGGAAUAUUGGACAAUGGGCGCAAGCCUGAUCCAGCCAUGCCGCGUGAGUGAUGAAGGCCCUAGGGUUGUAAAGCUCUUUUGUGCGGGAAGAUAAUGACGGUACCGCAAGAAUAAGCCCUGGCUAACUUCGUGCCAGCAGCCGCGGUAAUACGAAGGGGGCUAGCGUUGCUCGGAAUCACUGGGCGUAAAGGGUGCGUAGGCGGGUCUUUAAGUCAGGGGUGAAAUCCUGGAGCUCAACUCCAGAACUGCCUUUGAUACUGAAGAUCUUGAGUUCGGGAGAGGUGAGUGGAACUGCGAGUGUAGAGGUGAAAUUCGUAGAUAUUCGCAAGAACACCAGUGGCGAAGGCGGCUCACUGGCCCGAUACUGACGCUGAGGCACGAAAGCGUGGGGAGCAAACAGGAUUAGAAACCCUUGUAGUCCCAUGAU
rnacentral:rRNA from 1 species